UACGGGGGGGGGCAAGCGUUGUUCGGAAUUACUGGGCGUAAAGCGCGUGUAGGCGGCUCGGAAAGUCGGAUGUGAAGCCGCUGGGCUUAACCUAGGAAGUGCAUUCGAAACUCCCGAGCUUGAGUUCUGGAGAGGAAGGCGGAAUUCUCGGUGUAGAGGUGAAAUUCGUAGAUAUCGAGAGGAACACCGGUGGCGAAGGCGGCCUUCUGGACAGUGAC
rnacentral:rRNA from 1 species